GACGAACGCUGGCGGCGUGCUUAACACAUGCAAGUCGAACGGUAAGGCCCUUUCGGGGGUACACGAGUGGCGAACGGGUGAGUAACACGUGGGUGAUCUGCCCUGCACUUUGGGAUAAGCCUGGGAAACUGGGUCUAAUACCGGAUAGGACUACGCGAUGCAUGUCGUGUGGUGGAAAGCUUUUGCGGUGUGGGAUGGGCCCGCGGCCUAUCAGCUUGUUGGUGGGGUGAUGGCCUACCACGGCGACGACGGGUAGCCGGCCUGAGAGGGUGUCCGGCCACACUGGGACUGAGAUACGGCCCAGACUCCUACGGGAGGCAGCAGUGGGGAAUAUUGCACAAUGGGCGCAAGCCUGAUGCAGCGACGCCGCGUGGGGGAUGACGGCCUUCGGGUUGUAAACCCCUUUCAGCACAGACGAAGCGUAAGUGACGGUAUGUGCAGAAGAAGCACCGGCCAACUACGUG
rnacentral:rRNA from 1 species